rnacentral:piRNA from 1 species
UGAACUCUGCUUCAAGAACAGGAUGAUGC